rnacentral:piRNA from 1 species
UGGGAUUUUGGUGCAGGGAG